rnacentral:pre_miRNA from 1 species
CGAAAUCUCAAAGGAGUGAUAUGAGAACACAGAUCCUCUGGUUUCCUUAAGAUUUUUCACUGAAACAAUCGUGUUUGUGUUCUCAGGUCACCCCUUUGAAUCUCCC